UACAGAGGGUGCGAGCGUUAAUCGGAAUUACUGGGCGUAAAGCGCGCGUAGGCGGCUUUGCAAGUCGGGUGUGAAAUCCCCAGGCUCAACCUGGGAACUGCAUUCGAGACUGCAUUGCUAGAGUAUGGGAGAGGGAAGUGGAAUUUACGGUGUAGCGGUGAAAUGCGUAGAUAUCGUAAGGAAGACCAGUGGCGAAGGCGGGUCUCUGGACAGUUCCUGACGCUGAGGCACGAAGGCCAGGGGAGCAAACGGG
rnacentral:rRNA from 1 species